rnacentral:rRNA from 1 species
GAGUUUGAUCAUGGCUCAGAGCGAACGUUAGCGGCGCGCCUAACACAUGCAAGUCGCACGAGGUAGCAAUACCUAGUGGCGCACGGGUGCGUAACACGUAGAUAAUCUGCCCUUCAGCGGGGGAUAACGUUCCGAAAGGAGCGCUAAUACCGCAUACAGCAGCGAGUGGUUCGCCAUUUGUUGGCAAAGGCUGGGAUCUUCGGACCAGCCACUGAAGGAGGAGUCUGCGGCCCAUCAGCUAGUUGGUAAGGUAACGGCUUACCAAGGCAAAGACGGGUAGCUGGUCCGAGAGGAUGAUCAGCCACACUGGUACUGGAACACGGACCAGACUCCUACGGGAGGCAGCAGUGGGGAAUCUUGGUCAAUGGGCGCAAGCCUGAACCAGCGACGCCGCGUGAGUGAUGAAGGCCUUC